GUGAGUGUUGUUUUGUGAGCAUUAGCUCAGGGUUAAACAGCUUUGCACUGAGAGCAUAUGGCUGGCCCAGAUCCUGAGAGCCUGGCGUUUCUCACCCCACGCCAUGCUGUUAGAAUAGACUCGAGUGUCAGUGUAGAGGAGCGUUGUUUAUCUGUAGGGAAGCUAGUGGGCUGUAACAACAUCCUGGCUGCAGACCGAAUGAACAAGAACAUUAUCUUCGUCAGAACUGUCGGUUUAGCAAACAGUUUAAUAGAGAGUGGGGUGGAGAUUGGUGGUGUUUUUACCCCUGUGCUUCCUCUGUAUACCCCUAAAACAGAAGGUCCGGUUGACGAAUUCUAAUGAAAAGGUGUAUUUCAGUCGUUUACAUGAUGGUGAAGGAUAACAGAGAAGAUGUAGAUUUAACGAAGACACAAGGACCAUAGUGAGACCAUACUGAAGAGAAACACAGAUCACUGCAGCACAGGAGUUCAGUCAGGAGGCACCUGGGGAACACAGGAUGAAGUUUGGACCAUCAACUGAAGGAGAGAAUACAACUGUAGAGGAGGAAGAACAUCCAGCUAAAGCUCUACCAUGAUGUGAGACGUCCAGAAGCUGCUGCAGAAACUCCUGAGUUCAUCAGAAUGUUUGCUGAAGAUAAAAGUCUGAUGCCCAGACCAGCAGAUCAGACAAACGAGCUAUUUAUUCAGAGACUCAUCUUCCUGCACUAGUGUGUCUUCCCCCCCGAUGCACCAAGGAUCCAUCUGAUUUCUGCCAGAUUGGAGAAGGACUCUUCUUUAUCUGUCUCUUCUGGUACAGAUUCGUUGAGCUUUUGUUCUUAUUUGUAUUUAUUAAUCCACUCUAUAUUUAGGAAUCUAAAAGACAGCGUAAUGUUUA